AACAAACCUUCCUGCGUUAGGGAUUGCAGUGGAAAUCCUUUUUGCGAGGUACGAGCAAAAAGAUUGCAACGUAAAGCCCGACCCGUU
rnacentral:sRNA from 1 species